rnacentral:rRNA from 1 species
GAUGAACGCUGGCGGCGUGCCUAAUACAUGCAAGUCGAGCGAACAGACGAGAAGCUUGCUCCUCUGAUGUUAGCGGCGGACGGGUGAGUAACACGUGGAUAACCUACCUAUAAGACUGGGAUAACUUCGGGAAACCGGAGCUAAUACCGGAUAAUAUAUUGAACCGCAUGGUUCAAAAGUGAAAGACGGUCUUGCUGUCACUUAUAGAUGGAUCCGCGCCGCAUUAGCUAGUUGGUAAGGUAACGGCUUACCAAGGCAACGAUGCAUAGCCGACCUGAGAGGGUGAUCGGCCACACUGGAACUGAGACACGGUCCAGACUCCUACGGGAGGCAGCAGUAGGGAAUCUUCCGCAAUGGGCGAAAGCCUGACGGAGCAACGCCGCGUGAGUGAUGAAGGUCUUCGGAUCGUAAAACUCUGUUAUUAGGGAAGAACAAAUGUGUAAGUAACUAUGCACAUCUUGACGGUACCUAAUCAGAAAGCCACGGCUAACUACGUG